rnacentral:misc_RNA from 1 species
GAUGAAGAACGCAGCGAAAUGCGAUAAGUAAUGUGAAUUGCAGAAUUCAGUGAAUCAUCGAAUCUUUGAACGCACAUUGCGCCCCUUGGUAUUCCGGGGGGCAUGCCUGUUCGAGCGUCAUUAUAACCCCUCAAGCUCAGCUUGGUGUUGGGGCCUGCCGACUGGCAGCCCUUAAAAUCAGUGGCGGCGCCAUCUGGCUCUAAGCGUAGUAAUUUCUCUCGCUAUAGAGUCCCGGUGGAUGCUUGCCAGCAACCCCCAACUUUCUAUGGUUGACCUCGGAUCAGGUAGGGAUACCCGCUGAACUUAAGCAUAUCAAUAGCGGAGGA